rnacentral:rRNA from 1 species
UAAGGAAUAUUGGACAAUGGAGGCAACUCUGAUCCAGCCAUGCCGCGUGAAGGAAUAAGGCCCUAUGGGUUGUAAACUUCUUUUAGACGGGACAAAACCCCUUUACGUGUAAAGGGUUGAUGGUACUGUCAGAAUAAGCAUCGGCUAACUUCGUGCCAGCAGCCGCGGUAAUACGAAGGAUGCAAGCGUUAUCCGGAAUUAUUGGGUUUCAAGGGUGCGUAGGCGGACUAAUAAGUCAGUGGUGAAAGCCUGCAGCUUAACUGCAGAAUUGCCAUUGAUACUGUUAGUCUUGAGUACAGUUGAGGUAGGCGGAAUGUGUCAUGUAGCGGUGAAAUGCUUAGAUAUGACACAGAACACCGAUCGCGAAGGCAGCUUGCUAAGCUGUAACUGACGCUGAGGCACGAAAGCGUGGGGAGCAAACA